GUAUUUAUGGAGAACACAAAUCGAUGUGUCAUAAGCACAUUAAAGCUCACACGUUUUGCUUGGGUGGUUUCUUUUUUCUUAUUUUUAAGGAAAAGGCCCAUUUUUGCAGCUUUUAGAAGACAAGCCUUUUUCACAAAGAGCUCUGCAGCUUUAAGAAGUUUGCACACUUGAACAGCUGGCAGUGGGCCAUUAGGCCAACAUAAACACUCCUAAUCCUUUUUCCAAGGAGCUUUCAACACUCAUCUCUCUGGCACAUCGGCCGUUGACUCACUCUCUGACAUUCCAGGCCGUUUGAAGGGGAGGAGAGUGGUCGGCAGGCGGCACUGUGGCUCCAACAAUGAAUCCACGGUGCUGGGUUUCUGCUGUUGAUCAUUAUUCACUGCAAAGGUAUGUGCCUUCGUUUGAUUUUCCCAUGAAGCGAAACAGGUCUCAGUUUUCAUUCUUUCUUAGCAGAACUGCGGGCUGAGCUUCACCAAAGUCUUGUUGACUGGAAAACCACAGAACCAUGUGUGAUGAUUACAGACAGGAAGUCCUGAUCCCAAGAUCCCCACUUAAGAUGGUUUAAAACAAAUAAAGCUAAAACCGAAAAAGAUGGUAAUGUCAAAUGGAAAUGAAUAUUGAGAUGAGUAUUUUUUUUUCUUCAGUUGAUUUCAGCACUUGUACAUUGUUUCUUCAGCAUCUUCACUUCAAGUCCAGAUUUCCCAGAACAUCAGGUUUUUUCUUUUUCAGCCAUUCUGAUGCAGAUUUGCCGUUGUGCGUCGCGGCGUUGGUCUUUUGGAUGACCCAGUUUUAUCCGAGCUUUAGCUGUCGGACAGAUGGGCUCACAAAUACUCUGGUGAACUGUGUGGGUGACUCAACGUCUGCAACUGGUGAGAAGCGAAGCCAAAACCAGACCUUUCCAACACCGUGACUGACAGCUGGUUGCCUACGAUGUUCAGUCCUUUGUGUUCUCGUUAGCAGCAAAUGACAAGUCCAAGCAGAAAGGAAGGAAUUCACAAAGACAGCCGUGGAUAAAGCGGAUAAUGUGUUGGACCAGCGAUGCUGAAUUACUGGAUGCAGUUCAACUGAACACCUGCUUGACCUAAAUAAGCCCAACCUGGCAUUUGAAAAAUGCUCUCAAUAUACUCUGCUGUACAUGCACUUUUUAGUAUUUAUUAUAGAUCCUACAUUUUAUACCUAUAUGACUCAUUUGUGACACUUUGAUAAUUAAAGAGAAUCUUGUAAAAGAUUGCACCAUCAGAUGAUAAUUUGAAAAAACUAAUUAUAAGAAGCAAUGAGGUGUGAAAUAUCCAAAUUCCUUCAUUUUCUUGAACAUCAUUUUUUUAAAUCAAAUUUGUUGCUAAAUGAUCUAGAAUUAUUAGGCCUAGAGUUCUGUUCACACCACCUUUAGCAACGCACAUUAAAGCAACGACUGUUUUCAGGCUCUACGUUCAAAAGAGUUACCACUAAAUGCGUGCUGAAAAGAACACAGAUUUGAUAGCGACGGAUGAUUGGUGUCUAUUUUAAUACACAGAAGUGCCAAUUGUUCGUAAUUUGAUCAUGGAGGGGAAAUUGAAAAUUGUGGUUUGUGCUCUGCCAGAAUUCUAUGACCUCAGGUUUUUCAUAAAUCGGAAUAGAGCUGUAAAAACAAAGGCCUGGAGUGAGAUUUGCACCACAAAGACAUCUUACACUAAUUCUCCUUCAACUGUAGGUGUGCUAGCCAACUGUAGAAAAAGAAAAAGAAGCCCCUCCCUGCUUGUCCAAUGUGAACACCAAAUGCUAAACACGAUUUUAGCACAUUCUUCAAUCCACGUCACAUUCUGUUUUUUUAAAAUGCAAAAAAACGUCACAGUCUUUGGUUUUCAACGAACAAAAUACCAGUUGUUGUGUUUUACUUUUACUUUGAAGGUCAAAAUCCUGCUUCCCAUUGAGUUAACCAGCAGAAGCUUGAGCUGAAAGCAGGUUUUUGCUCCAAACUUUGAGUCAUUUUUGAUCAAGAAUCAAUGUAACAUGAUAAAAAGUAAAAACAAUUUUCAACAGUUCAUGUUCAGCCAGGUGCAUUUAGUAAAUCAUUUCAGUCUCAGGUCCAGUAUUUUACAGUUCCUGCUAGAGUAUGAGUAGCUCCUUACUGACAGAUUAUUACUGUUAAAGCCAGUGACUGUAUAUAGUGAACUGGACCGAGUGAGUGUGAUGCCAUUCGUAGAAAAUAGCUUACUUUUGGCUCCAACAAAAUAAAGUUAAUUCAUUCGCCAUUUUUUCCUAAAAAUGGACGCUUCCAUGUUGGAGCCAGAUGACGUCAGUAAGCAGUCAGUCUGAGUCAACGUUUCUAUGGAAACCAAUUUCCCCAAUCAGGAGUGAGCUUGUUGGAAGGUUUCACCUCUACCACUCGGGAAAAUCUGUCAAACCUUUUGUUCAGCGGGAGAUCACAUACUUUUUUUGAGGAAUCUGAUUGGGCAAUUUAUGACUUGAAUAACUUGCAGUAAAAAAAAUUGUUUUGGAAAAAAUAAGAAUUAACAAGAGGAUGCUAAAAAAAAAGGUGGUUAUUCUGACAAACAUAAUAACCGAGCAACAGCUGCUUAUUUCUCAAUAGAAGUCUAUGAGAAUUUGUCUUCUUUACCCAGUGGGUACUUCCUAUUUGGAAUGCAAGGGGGAGGGAGGAGUCACUCAGUCCAGUUCUCACAUACAGUCAAGGGUUAAAACUCAAUUUCCCUUAAACAAGAACUUGAGGAGGUACUGUUUUAAGCAGCGAUUAGACUUUGGACAACUACAAACGCUGAACAAUCAAAGUAUUCAAGUGUUUAAAAAACCCAGCAGUAUUUCUUGAAGUCACAGCAUCUAUUGUUAACAACAGCUGGAACAAUGCUGUGGACAUAUUGUGAAAACACCAAAUAAAAAUAAUUAUGCCAGGAAACAAGGAUCAUCUCAGCACCCCAGCUGUAGACCCCAUGCAGCAAUUUGUCUGAGAGAUGACAUGCGUAAUGAGAACCACUUGCUGCUGGACUCCAUAAAUCCUGUCAGGCCUUGGAGGUUGUGGGGUUCAGCACAGUGCUCAUCCUUCUGAAGUGCCUGAAAAAAAACACGCUUUGCACGUCACCGUCGGAGAUGCAGAAUUUCCUGCCAUUCCCAGAUGUUCCUGUGCAGAUGUUGUCAAAGGCGCCUUUCAAAGGAAAUGUUAUUUGCUUGCGAAGGCUGUGCUUGUGUGUGCUGUUACUCGCAUUUGCAUGGAAGUUAGCAUGUGAAAGUAAUUGUGUGUAAUGACUUAACAGACACACACCAGGGAUUGUGGAGAUAUUUGUCUUUUUUUUCUUCUUUUUUUACUUCCACAAUGCUUUAUUACACUUUACUCAUUUCUAAAUAA